CACGUAGGGUGCGAGCGUUGUCCGGAAUUAUUGGGCGUAAAGAGCGUGUAGGCGGCCUGGUAAGUCCGCUGUGAAAGUCCAGGGCUCAACCCUGGAAUGCCGGUGGAAACUGUCAGGCUCGAGUCCGGAAGAGGCGAGUGGAAUUCCUGGUGUAGCGGUGAAAUGCGUAGAUAUCUGGAGGAACACCGGUGGCGAAGGCGGCAUCCUGGACCGAGAUUGACGCUGAGGCGCGAAAGCCAGGGGAGCAAACGGG
rnacentral:rRNA from 1 species